GCGGGGACUCGCUCGUCUGUACUUCUCGAACUGGACGCUGGCUUGACAACAGUACCUCACUUUUCCCACUUUGUCUCGUGUGUUUGCGUGUGAGUGUUGGCUGCCUCGUUUUCCAGACUCGCCACUGAGAAUGAAUAUAUUCAAACGAGACAAAGGCUCAGCGGCUGCUACUCAGGAGCUCGGCAGUGCCGUCAGACACAGCCAGAACAGGCAGGAUGAUGGAGUUGGC
rnacentral:lncRNA from 1 species